rnacentral:rRNA from 1 species
CCUACGUGAGGCAGCAGUGGGGAAUAUUGCACAACGGGGGAAACCCUGAUGCAGCGACGCCGCGUGAGUGAAGAAGUAAUUCGUUAUGUAAAGCUCUAUCAGCAGGGAAGAAAAUGACGGUACCUGAGUAAGAAGCCCCGGCUAACUACGUGCCAGCAGCCGCGGUAAUACGUAGGGGGCAAGCGUUAUCCGGAUUUACUGGGUGUAAAGGGAGCGUAGACGGCAGUGCAAGUCUGGAGUGAAAGGCGGGGGCUCAACCCCCGGACUGCUCUGGAAACUGUACGGCUGGAGUGCAGGAGAGGUAAGUGGAAUUCCUAGUGUAGCGGUGAAAUGCGUAGAUAUUAGGAGGAACACCAGUGGCGAAGGCGGCUUACUGGACUGUAACUGACGUUGAGGCUCGAAAGCGUGGGGAGCAAACAGGAUUAGAUACCCGGGUAGUC